rnacentral:lncRNA from 1 species
GGAAGCUAAAACACAAACAGAGACAAAGAGGAAUUAGUUUGUGCAGCAUCAAUCGGGUAUGUCUCCAAACUCGAUGGAUCACAUAACUAAAACUUUAGCUCUUUGUCAUUGUAGGACACAGAUUCAAGGAUGAAUCCUUUCAAAGGAGAGGAGAUUGAUGUGAUACAAGAAGAACAACAGUCCUAUGUCCUAAAAGGCCGAAGUGAUCAUGCUAUAGGAUAAGAAAAGCUCCUCA